UGCGUCGGUCUAUCCAGAUCGAUCACCAUCCUCAUGAUGAUACUUUGAUCAGGAGUAUUUAAAAAGUAUAUAUAUGUCUCUAUUUCUCAACAUCUUAAGAAUAUGUAUCGAAAUGUUAAUAUCAUGGAUGAUUCAAGGACACAUCAAACUUGAAUGAAAAUUAAAUUUAUCUUUUUAUUGAUCAAAUUAAUAAAUCAAGUAUAAAAUUGUGUCCUAGAUUUAUUACAAUGUGUCAGCCAUA
rnacentral:lncRNA from 1 species